AUUGAACGCUGGCGGCAGGCCUAACACAUGCAAGUCGAGCGGAUGAAGGGAGCUUGCUCCUGGAUUCAGCGGCGGACGGGUGAGUAAUGCCUAGGAAUCUGCCUGGUAGUGGGGGAUAACGUCCGGAAACGGGCGCUAAUACCGCAUACGUCCUGAGGGAGCAAUUGGGGGAUCUUCGGACCUCACGCUAUCAGAUGAGCCUAGGUCGGAUUAGCUAGUUGGUGGGGUAACUGCCUACCAAGGCGACGAUCCGUAACUGGUCUGAGAGGAUGAUCCGUCACACUGGAACUGAGACACGGCCCAGACUCCUACGGGGGGCAGCAGUGGGGAAUAUUGGACAAUGGGCGAAAGCCUGAUCCAGCCAUGCCGCGUGUGUGAAGAAGGUCUUCGGAUGGUAAAGCACUGUAAGUUGGGAGGAAGGGAAGUAAGUUAAUACCCUGCUGUUUUGACGUUACCAACAGAAUAAGCACCGGCUAACUUCGUG
rnacentral:rRNA from 1 species